rnacentral:rRNA from 1 species
UUAAAUAAGUAAGAGUUUGUGGUGGAUGCCUUGGGUCUGGAAGUCGAUGAAGGACGUGAUUACCUGCGAUAAGCCUCGUGGAGCUGGAUAUAAGCUACGAUACGGGGAUUUCCGAAUGGGGAAACCUAGUUAGAGUAAUUUCUAACUGCAUCAAGAUGAAUAAAUAGUCUUGAUAGCGAGACACGUUGUGAACUGAAACAUCUUAGUAGCAACAGGAAGAGAAAAUAAAUAAUGAUUCCAUCAGUAGCGGCGAGCGAACGUGGAAGAGCCCAAACCAUCUAUAUGAUGGGGUUGUAGGACUAUCUACACGAAGUUACAAAUUUUUGUUAUAGCAGAAAAAGUUGGGAAACUUUAGCAUAGAGGGUGAUACUCCCGUAUGCGAAAUGGCAAAAACUUCUGAUAGUAUCCUGAGUAGGGCGGGGCACGUGAAACCCUGUCUGAAUCUGCCGGGACCAUCCGGUAAGGCUAAAUACUAACCAGACACCGAUAGUGAACUAGUACCGUGAGGGAAAGGUGAAAAGAACCCCGGGAGGGGAGUGAAAUAGAAUCUGAAACCACUUACUUACAAUUAGUCAGAGGCCGUUAAUGGCUGAUGGCGUACAUCUUGCAGUAUGGACCGGCGAGUUAUGUUAACAUGCGAGGUUAAGCAGAAAAAAGCGGAGCCGUAGAGAAAUCGAGUCUUAAUAGGGCGUUUAGUAUGUUGAUAUAUACCCGAAACCAUGUGAUCUAUUCAUGAGCAGGCUGAAGCUUGGAUAACACCAAGUGGAGGGCCGAACCGUAGUACGCUGAAAAGUGCCCGGAUGACUUGUGAAUAGUGGAGAAAUUCCAAUCGAACUUGGAGAUAGCUGGUUCUCCUCGAAAUAGCUUUAGGGCUAGCGUGUGAUGUUAAACUUUGGUGGUAGAGCACUGAAUAUGGAAUGGCCGCGCCUAGCGGUACUGACUAUAAUCAAACUCCGAAUACCAUUGUGUAUUGUCAUGCAGUCGGAACCGGGGUGCUAACGUCCCGGCUCGCGAGGGCAACAACCCAGAUCGUCGGCUAAGGUCCCAAAAUUAUGUUAAGUCAGAAAGGUUGUGAGAUUUCAUAAACAACUAGGAGGUUGGCUUAGAAGCAGCCACCCUUUAAAGAGUGCGUAAUAGCUCACUAGUCAAGAGAUCUUGCGCCAAUAAUGUAACGGGAGUAAAACAUAAUACCGAAGCCACGGGUACGAAAGUACGUUAGAGGAGCGUUCUUAGUGCGGCGAAGUCAGACCGUGAGGACUGGUGGAGCGCUAAGAAGUGAGAAUGCCGGUAUGAGUAACGAUUCGUGUGAGAAUCCACGACGCCUAUUGGGAAAGGUUUCCUGGGGAAGGUUCGUCCACCCAGGGUUAGUCAGGGCCUAAGGAGAGGCUGAAAAGCGUAUCCGAUGGACAACAGGUUAAUAUUCCUGUACCACCUUGGCAUAGUGAUGGAGUGACGGAGAAGGAUAACACUACCUAUUAUUGGAUUUAGGGGUAAAUAACAACUGGUGAAUAUAGUUAAAUGCGUAUUCUAUAACCGGGAGUUAUGAUGCAUAGAACUUAGGUUUGAAUUGUGUGAUUUUCAUGCUUCCAAGAAAAGCUUCUAAACGUUUAAAUGUCAGGGUGCCUGUACCGAGAACGGACACACGUUCCCAAGAUGAGUAUUCUAAGGCGAGCGAGAAAACCAAUGUUUAAGGAACUCUGCAAUUAACCCCGUAAGUUCGCGAAAAGGGGUGCCAACCCUAAAAAGUUGGCCACAGUAAAUUGUGAGGGGCAACUGUUUAUCAAAAACACAGCUCUCUGCUAAACCGCAAGGUGAUGUAUAGGGGGUGAAGCCUGCCCAGUGCCCGAAGGUUAAGUGGAUGCGUUAGCUUUAUGCGAAGCGUUGAAAUGAAGCCCGGGUGAACGGCGGCCGUAACUAUAACGGUCCUAAGGUAGCGAAAUUCCUUGUCGGCUAAAAUACUGACCUGCA